GGGCGCAGCGGCCGCAGCGGCAAGAGCCGGCGCUUGGGCUCGAGCGACGGCGCUGGCGGGGACGCCGGCUGCGCCUCCCCUCCCCACCGGUAUUACACUCUGAAGAAGACACACCCACAGUUAGCACUUUCUUCAGAUGCUGACACUUGGCGAACAGCUGCUCUUGGUCACAAGAUUUCAAGACACAGUGUCCAUCCUCCCAGAUUGGAUCUUUUUUUUAUAUGGAUCUUCUGUUUCUAUGUCUUUUUAAAAAAGAACUCUUUGGGGAAGUUUGGAUUACAGCUGUUCACCCUCAUCUAUGCAAAGAAAGGAAAGCUGUUGCUGGGAUUUUGAGGAGCUUUUCCUAAAAGGAUUCCUGUACACCUCAGAAGUGCUUGAGGAAGAGUGAUGAAG